rnacentral:lncRNA from 1 species
GAGUUGGUGGUGACUUCCGGCCCCUGGUGACAGUUGGUGACUCAGCAAAUGUCUGAGUGCAGAGAGGGAACCGGCCCACCGUCCCGAAACAGACGAAUAAAUAACUCUGGCGGCGCGCCUCAUACUAGAGCUUGUGCAAGCAAGUGGACCAGAAAUAGCUCAGGGUAGAAGACUCCCAGCGGCGCCAUAGGAAGAAUGAGGCACAAGCCAAUUUUGUACCCUGAAACGGACAUUCCCCGGCUGGAAAAAGCUUGAGUAAAAAGAUUUACUCCCCUCCAGCUUCCCUCAGAAAAGAGCAGGCCUCCCAGGGACAUCGAUCAAAUACGGCAUAUUUAAAUAGGCACAUCCAUCGCACCACAUCAAGGUUGGACGAGGCAAUUCAGUAAGGGAAAUGGUCCCAUAAGCAGGCAAAAGAAUCGGGGACAGCCCCCACUCCCAUGGUUAGGAUUCCCACAGAACCACCAAGCUACUCAGACAUAACACAGAAGCUCUGGCUAGUUUUUAUGUCAACUUGACAGGAGCCAGAGUCAUCUGAAAGGAGGGAACUGCAACUGAGAAAAUGCCUGUCAUAAGAUGCUGAUCAGCUGGGCUGAAGAAUCAGCUGUGAUUCACUGAAGUCAAAUCUCCUGGGAAGUGUUUCCUCAGAAGCCGUGCUCCAGAGGUGGCCAAGGUUGAACCUCAUGCCGGCAGCCGAACUUGGUUGCGUAAGAGUGACCCAGCUGAUAACUGCUUUAAAGGUAUAAAGGGAUCAUGGACAGCAGCUGAGGCUUGACCCUGUGUGGCAGGCCUGGAGUCCCUGAAAAGAGCCCAGGAGAGGUUAAAGGUGAAAGUGCAGCCCAGCUCCUGUAGAAGAGUCCAGCAUUUUGGAGAUGCCAGUACCAGGGGACAACCUCCAAGAACAGCAGCAGGUGUGGAGUGGAGCCAGCCUGAGCCUAGAAGACAUGUUCUGUGUGCUACAGAGGACAGAGCCAGAGAAGUGACCAGGCCCUUUGGAGGAGCUCAGAAGAUCAGGAGAGACGUCCAGACAUUGGAGGCUGAGUCAUUUACUGUUGGAACUUGGUUUUGCUUUGCUCAGGCUAUCUGUGGGCUGGUUCUUCUCUCUUGAGGUAAUAAAGUAACUUAUAUUUUAUUU